rnacentral:rRNA from 1 species
GGUACUCGAGUGGCGAACGGGUGAGUAACACGUGGGUGAUCUGCCCUGCACUUCGGGAUAAGCCUGGGAAACUGGGUCUAAUACCGGAUAGGACCAUGCUUUAGUGUGUGUGGUGGAAAGUUUUUUCGGUGUAGGAUGAGCCCGCGGCCUAUCAGCUUGUUGGUGGGGUAAUGGCCUACCAAGGCGGCGACGGGUAGCCGGACUGAGAGGUUGGUCGGCCACAUUGGGACUGAGAUACGGCCCAG